rnacentral:misc_RNA from 1 species
UAGUGUGGUUUGGUCAUUUCUGUGG